UGUCAAGGGUCUGACAGACACUGAGGUAC
rnacentral:piRNA from 1 species